UAAUACGGAGGAUGCAAGCGUUAUCCGGAUUUAUUGGGUUUAAAGGGUGCGUAGGCGGGUGCUUAAGCGUGAGGUGAAAGCUCGGGGCUCAACCCCGGAACUGCCUCGCGAACUGGGUGCCUUGAAUGUCCGUGCCGUGGGAGGAAUGUGUGGUGUAGCGGUGAAAUGCAUAGAGAUCACACAGAACACCGAUUGCGAAGGCAUCUCACGAACGGAUGAUUGACGCUGAGGCACGAAAGCGUGGGGAUCAAACAGGAUUAGAUACCCUGGUAGUCCACGCAGUAAACGAUGAUAACUAACCGCUGGGGUUUCGAUUUCAGUGGCCAAGCGAAAGCGAUAAGUUAUCCACCUGGGGAGUACGACCGCAAGGUUGAAACUCAAAGGAAUUGACGGGGGCCCGCACAAGCGGAGGAACAUGUGGUUUAAUUCGAUGAUACGCGAGGAACCUUACCCGGGCUCGAACGGCAGAGGAACAAUCCAGAGAUGGUGCGGCCCUUCGGGGCUUCUGUCGAGGUGCUGCAUGGUUGUCGUCAGCUCGUGCCGUGAGGUGUCGGCUUAAGUGCCAUAACGAGCGCA
rnacentral:rRNA from 1 species